GUUUGUCAGGCUGCAUUCUGGACCUUUUCCUCUGAGACUCACCAUUUGUUCUGACUUCAUAUCUAAUGCAACAAAUAGGUAAAGAGAGAUCAUGGCACGCUGUCUGGAUAUAAAUUCUGGCUGCUUUUCUCCAAACCAGAGGAUUAGUGGUGUGAUGGUAGAUGUGAAGUCUGGAGCUGCAACCAUCUUGCAAACAGAAAAGGCCAAAGCUGCCAGGAGCUAUGAGGAAGCUAAGAAUGCAACCAACUAAGAAGAACAAAGAGCAGAGAGAUGGGUCCUGAUGAUAUGGUUAAUCCCUGCAUUAAGCUGUGCCUGAAGCUAGUUACCAUGCACUUUUCCAUGGUGUGAACCACUAAACUCUUUCUACCGAA